AGCGAACGCUGGCGGCAGGCCUAACACAUGCAAGUCGAACGGAUCCUUCGGGAUUAGUGGCGGACGGGUGAGUAACACGUGGGAACGUGCCCUUUGGUUGGGAACAACUCAGGGAAACUUGAGCUAAUACCGGAUGUGCCCUUCGGGGGAAAGAUUUAUCGCCAUUGGAGCGGCCCGCGUCUGAUUAGCUAGUUGGUGAGGUAACGGCCCACCAAGGCGACGAUCAGUAGCUGGUCUGAGAGGAUGAUCAGCCACACUGGGACUGAGACACGGCCCAGACUCCUACGGGAGGCAGCAGUGGGGAAUCUUGCGCAAUGGGCGAAAGCCUGACGCAGCCAUGCCGCGUGAAUGAUGAAGGUCUUAGGAUUGUAAAAUUCUUUCAGCGGGGACGAUAAUGACGGUACCCGCAGAAGAAGCUCCGGCUAACUUCGUG
rnacentral:rRNA from 1 species